CCUACGGGGGGCAGCAGUGGGGAAUAUUGGGCAAUGGGCGCAAGCCUGACCCAGCAACGCCGCGUGAAGGAAGAAGGCUUUCGGGUUGUAAACUUCUUUUCUCAGGGACGAAGCAAGUGACGGUACCUGAGGAAUAAGCCACGGCUAACUACGUGCCAGCAGCCGCGGUAAUACGUAGGUGGCAAGCGUUAUCCGGAUUUACUGGGUGUAAAGGGCGUGUAGGCGGGGACGCAAGUCAGAUGUGAAAACCACGGGCUCAACCGAUAGAGUGCAUUUGAAACUGCAGUUCUUGAGUGAUGGAGAGG
rnacentral:rRNA from 1 species